GAAAGCGUGGGGAGCAAACGGGAUUAGAUACCCCGGUAGUCACGCCGUAAACGAUGUCUACUAGCCGUUGGAGGACUUGAUCCUUUAGUGGCGCAGCUAACGCGAUAAGUAGACCGCCUGGGGGAGUACGGUCGCAAGAUUAAAACUCAAAUGAAUUGACGGGGGCCCGCACAAGCGGUGGAGCAUGUGGUUUAAUUCGAAGCAACGCGAAGAACCUUACCUACUCUUGACAUCCAGUGAACUUUUGAGAGAUCAAUUGGUGCCUUCGGGAACACUGAGACAGGUGCUGCAUGGUUGUCGUCAGCUCGUGUUGUGAAAUGUUGGGUUAAGUCCCGUAACGAGCGCAACCCUUGUCCUUAGUUACCAUCAUUAAGUUGGGGACUCUAAGGAGACUGCCGGUGACAAACCGGAGGAAGGCGGGGACGACGUCAAGUCAUCAUGGCCCUUACGAGUAGGGCUACACACGUGCUACAAUGGCAUGUACAAAGGGUUGCCAAGCCGCGAGGUGGAGCUAAUCCCAUAAAGCAUGUCGUAGUCCGGAUUGGAGUCUGCAACUCGACUCCAUGAAGUCGGAAUCGCUAGUAAUCGUGAAUCAGAAUGUCACGGUGAAUACGUUCCCGGGCCUUGUACACACCGCCCGUCAUACCAUGGGAGUGGGUUGCUCCAGAAGUAGAUAGCUUAACCUUCGGGAGGGCGUUUA
rnacentral:rRNA from 1 species